AGCCCCUCCCAGUCUCGCGAAACCAGCGCCUUGUAGCCCCUCCCAGCAGCGCCUCCUAGCCCCUCCAAGCAGUGCCGUGCCGGACCAGCCGCCCAGCAGCGACGUUUAGCCCUUCCUAGUAGCGCGAACCCAUCAGCGACGUUCAAUCCCUCCCAGCAGCACGAACCAGCGAAACCAACCCCUCCGAGCAGCGCCGAACCAGCACCUCCCAGCCCCUCCGAGUGCCGGACACCAGAUUUGAAGCCUCCAAGUAAGUUGCCAUAAGGAAUUCAUUUGGUGCCACAAAUUACCCAGCAGCGCCAAAGCCUUCUUCCCAACAGCGUUUCUGGCCAAAGUCUCCGAGUCAGAUUUUAUGCAUUCAGUGAAAAGAGUUCAUAUGAACAACUUUGGAGAACCUAUCAAACUGCAGAAAUUUACAGGAUACAAAAACAAAAAAUAGCAUAUAAAUGGUCAUGAAAGAGAUUGUGUUAUGAUGAUGCAUUGGUGCUGUGCCGGUUCUUCUUCCAAAUGAAUCUACGAGCAUCAGAUCUCCGACUGCAUUGCCUGUUGCGCCAGUCCUCGUAGAAAUACUGGAAAUUUAUAUUUAUUUUAUGUUGUGUUGACUACUAAACUUUUAAACUUCUUUAAUUAUCGCUUGUUAAUUUUUUUGUCAUUGAAUUUCAUUGGAUUAAGACUUUGUUAGUUAUUGUAUAUUUGUUUGUUGAUUUCAAUUGAUGAC